GGUCCCCUGCCUUGCAGGUGAUGAUCGAUGUGUUUUGAGCCAACACAUAUUUGAAUGGGAUCUAUGUUCGAAAGAUGGUGUGCACGCCCUGGCGACAGGGAAGCCUGAAAUCUUUGACGGGAUACCCACCUGAUUUUCAGGUUCAAAUAAUUUCGGUCACACGGCAAGGCGGGGUCCUC
rnacentral:other from 1 species